GAGGUCAAGGAGAGAACAGACCGGAGAAAACAUCAAAACAGAAGAGAAAAACUCGAAAAAUGGAGUAGAAAUGGGAAGGGAAUAAUCUGACAAUGAGCAGUUUCUGAUUGGGUCUGGCCGAAAAUUUCAAGUUUUGCCGAAAAAUACAAAAAGCUGGUUCGUUUGGUAUUCGUUGUUGGUUCGGGGAUUUAGAUUUCAGUUCAUCUUAACUCGUUCGUUGAGUUCAGUUUUGGGUUUCAAUUCCUCAAUACUGAGUUGGAUCUUGAUCGCAUUGAGGUUCCUUGUUCGAGGUUUUCGGUUUUGGAUUUCUCUAUUAUCAACGAAAACGAGUUCUAUUGAGGUCCACUCCUUUAACUCGCUCUCUUUUUCUUUAUUUUGGUUGUUUAAAUUGACUAUGACUAUGUGUUUGUCUAUUCUGAUUGUUGGAUGUUUGCUGAUGUUAUUGAUGUUAUGAUCAUGUGCUUGGUGAUAUGAUUUCGAGGGUUUGAGGAACAAAUUUGUUAGUUUUAAUUGUGCUAUUGAUAGGAAAGAAUUUGGGGCGCGAAUUGACAAAUUGCUAAAAUGGAUUAGGAUUAAUUUUGAUUUAUUGUUGUUUUGAUUCAUUGACGCCAUCGAUCGGGAUAGUGCCAUGAUAGGUCGAGUUGGGUAGGCAAAAGGUAGGUUGGGUAGGCAAAGUUUACUGUGAUUUGUUGAACGUGUGAAUAUUUAUUGAAUGGUUCUUUCUAUUUUAUCGCAUUAAAAAUGUAUUCAUUUGGCCGGGGAAUGCCCCGAGAGAUUUGUAUUGAUUUAUCCGAGGAAUACCCCGAAGUAUCAUGUACUUGAAGACGGCGCACGAUCAAGGCCCGGAACAUCAGGUGGAGAAAGUAAUGGAGCAUAGUUAUGAUUAGUUUAGAACAAGACAGGUUUAUAUUUUCGCAUUUUUUAUUUUUUCGGGAUUAUAUAAGUGGACUGGACUUUAAAUUUUGGAUUGUUUUGUCUUGUUUGUUUGAUCGAUUGUUUUUGCUUGUUU